rnacentral:lncRNA from 1 species
AAAAUAAGCAAUAGAAACAUGAAUUUUCCUACAAUUAUUAAAGAAAUUGAUCCAAUAGUUUAAAAAUCUACCCACAAAAAAAGGCAGCAGAUUCAGACACUUCUUAUAGGUGAAUCAGUAGGAGAUUGGUUCCAGGACCCCCCACAGAUACCAAAAUCCACAGGUGCUCAAGUCCCUCAUAUGAGCUAGUGUAGUAUUUGCAUUUGACCUACACAUCCUCAUAUGUGUAUAUAUAUAGAGAGAGAGAGAGAGAGAGAGUUUCACUCUUGUUGCUCAGGCUGGAGUGCAAUGGUGCGAUCUCGGCUCACCGCAACCUCUGCCUCCCGGGUUCAAGCGAUUCUCCUGCCUCAGCCUCCCGAGUAGUUGGGAUUACAGGCGCCCACCACCAUGCCCGGCUAAUUUUUUGUAUUUUUAGUAGAGAUGGGGUUUCACUAUGUUGGCCAGGCUGGUCUCGAACUCCUGACCUCGUGAUCUGCCCGCCUCAGCCUCCCAAAGUGCUGGGAUUACAGGCAUGAGCCACCGCACCCAGCCCCUUCCACAUAUUUUAAAUCAUCUCAAGAUUAGUUAUAAUACCUAAUACAAUGUGAAUGCUAUGUAUUAAUAAGUAGUUGCUAUACUGUAUUGUCCAGGUAAUAGUGACAAG